UUUUCUGGGAAGCGUUCUGCAGCGUUGCAUCCCCCCGCACUGCCCCAGAGCAGGGUGAGGACACUGGGGCUGUGGAACAGCAGGUCCCAGUUCAUUCUCUCACUGCUGCAGGAGCUGGAGGCUGUGUGGCACGGCUGGUACAUGGAGAGAAGCCAUCCCACAGCUCCCGCGAUGCCCGGGCUGCGCAGGGAUGAGUCUGGCACACCUGUCAAGGGGACCCCAUCGGCAAGUGGGGAAGAGGAGCACCCUCCAAGCAGCCAGGUCCUGCUCCCAUAAGAGCACCCAGGAAGUCUGGUGGGAUUAGCUCAAGGAAUCUCCUGUCCCUGCACCUGACAGGAGAAGCCAGAGAGCUGGGCAGAAGAGGAGGCAAGCCAGUCGCUUCUCAGGGCCCUGAUCUACCACCAUGUUUCCUGUCCAGGCUUUCUGCCCUUGGACCUUUCUCCUCAAGCUUUGUUUUAUUGUGUACAGUUCCUAGAAUGGACUGGAGACCUGACUCUGGAACAUCCCUGAUGAAGGGCAAAGCCCAGCACGCCAUUCCAUGUUGCUCCAGUGGGGCCCUGGUGCAGCCACCUGGUCCCCAGUGCUGAACCCAGCUGGGUGCCCACCACCUCCAUGCCCAGCACUACCUAGCUGGACUUCCACCCCGUCCCAACACCGAGGCAGGAGCCACAAGAGCACAGGAGGAUCCAUCCAGCUCUGAAUGCUGCCAUGAGAGAUGAGCCAGAACUGCCUGCCUUGCCUCCAACAAUCUUUUAAAUCCUCCCAGGGCUGGUGACUCCAGCAUUGCCUGGGCAGCCUGUGCCAGUGCUUGACAACUCAUUCAGUUGAGAAAUUUUUCUCUAGUAUCCAGUCUAACCCUUCCCUGGCACCACUUGAGGCUGUUUCCUGUUGUCCUACCACCCAGGACUUCAUCCAGUGGCAGGGACUGUGUGAGCCAGUGUCAGGAGAGAACCAGGGACUGAUGGAGGCACCAGACACAGCCCGAGUUGUGCUGGGGAAUAUUUUGGCCUGGAAUUACUGACUAAAAAUGUUUUCAUGGGGUGUCACAAAGCACUUCAUCACUGGGGGAGGCUUUUGGGGUAACCAUGGUGCAGCGGCUCUGGGUUCGUCGGCGAAGCUGCAUCCGGGCCAGCCAGGAGCCCAUAGGAAUCCAAAAGCAGCCCCUCCACCCACUGGGAGGGAGCUGGAACAAAGGCAUUAGGGAGCAUAAGGAGAUUUACAUUUGCAAAGCUAUUUCCAUUUUAAUAAGCCAAAGCGCUGUUAAAUAGAGAUUGAUAUUUCUCCCCAAA